AGAGUUGCCCUAUAGCUUCUUCACUCCAUGUAGACAUAAACCAAAAUACUGCAAAGCUCUUCUAAAUAGAUCAUUCAACAAUUUCUUCUAAAACUCUACCCUCUCUCUUUACAUGUAGUGGAAGUAGUGGUGAAGUUGAACAUUUCUAUUAAGUUAGACUAAAAAACAACCCACUAUUACCAUCUCUUCCAGAUUAGGGAACAAUGUUAAUAAUAACCAUCAGUUAUUACUAUAAGAAUCACAUACCAUUUAGGCCUCAGGAAGAAGACAGUGUCUAGAUUGGAACCAAAUAAAGACAAAGAUGAUCUCUUUUACUCAAGAGUUGUCAGAAAUGACCUGAAUUAUUUGAGAGCUCAGAAUGUUCUGAUAUAUUAAAAAUAAUGCUCUGCCACAUCCAUAAACCCAAUUCAAACACACGGUUAAAUAUAGCAUAUACAUGUUAUUGUCUAAAAUAUCAAAUAUCUUAAUAUAUCUUUUAGGGGCGAGUGCCUUUUGGAUAAUAUACAUUUUACAUCUCUAUGAAGAGUUGGGAAGGACAGAUGUCACAUGAAGGAUGGAAUUACUACAUUUUGUUCACAAAUAUAGUGAGUAGUUUAUACUAUAUGCAAUAUUGAUUUUAUCUUAGCUAUCAAAUAUUACCCCAAAUAAAUCUGAGUUGCACACCAUAUUGAAAGUGGCAGUGGACAGUCUUUCCUAUGUAACACCUAGUCAUCCCAUUUCAAUUUCUAAAUUUAUAAUGAUUCAUUUUAGUUACAUUUCUUAGAGCUCUCUCUCAAUGAUCUGUGCAAUUUAGAAUUUAGAAUUCCAUCCCCACUCAGUAUUGAAAAAGAAGGCCAGAUGGGAUAGAACCUGCAACCUCAUGGUUCCUAGUCGGAUUUGUUAACCACUGAGCCAUGAGGGGAAAGCCAAAAGUACAUUUUUAAAUGGAUAUUAGAACAAGAAAGGACUUUACUAAGUCAAGGGACAUUGGCUGAACAGAACUAGACUGAAUAUACCUGCUUCAUGACUUGAAAUGCAUCUUUUUCCUUAAAUGAUGUGUUCCUUAAAGGAAGAUCCAAAUCUUACCCACUGUUGAAUUCCCAGCUCUUAGUAGAUUCAAUUAACGUUUUUUAAAUUGAAUUUUGAAGUAGUAUUUUUUUCUUUUGGCUACUUUAUAACUAAAGUUUACAAAUAUUCAGAAGAGUGUAAGAUAUGUAAAAUGGGUCUCUGUAAUUCACAUGCACAUAGAGAGGGAUGGUGGGUGCUUAUUUGUCUUAUGUACCUGUUUGUAUCAAGAGGAAUACAGAAUUUUAUAACAAGUGGUUUAACAAAAUUUAUACAAUUGAAAUAGCAAGAGGUUAUUUUUGAGUUAUGUUAAUUACACUGGCUAAUUAAUUGCCUGUGAUUUAAAAACAAAACAAAACAAAACAAACAAAGCAGGGUCUAACUAUGGAGAGAGAGAGAGAGAUUGAGAAAGAACAAGGAAGGGGGAGGGGAGGGGCAGGAGGAGAGAAAUGCAGUGACAGCUUUGAGAAAGGGCUUUAGGAAGCUGAUGAGGCUGGUCCCUCUUUUUUCCCUUGCUCCCUUAUUUCUAGCCAUCUCCUAUCUUUCUUGGAAAGCCACAUACCCGUUUACCAUCAGAGUGCCCUCCUGACACUGAUGUGUAUCAAAAGUAAUUAAAAGGGAGUUUCUGUAGUGGCUCAGUGGUUAACAAAUCUGACUAGCAUCCAUGAGGAUGCAGGUUCAAUCCCUGGCCUUGCUCAGUCGGUUAAAGAUCCAGCGUUGCCAUGAGUUGUGGUGUAGGUCGCAGACACGGCUCAGAUCCUGUGUUGCUUUGGCUAGGCCAGUAGCUACAGGUCCAAUUGAACCCCUAGCCUGGGAACUCCAUAUUGAUGCAGAGGGCGAGGGGCUCAAAAGCCAAAAAAAAAAAAAGAAAAAGAAAAA
rnacentral:lncRNA from 1 species